AACGAACGCUGGCGGCAGGCUUAACACAUGCAAGUCGAGCGCCCCGCAAGGGGAGCGGCAGACGGGGGAGUAACGCGUGGGAAUCUACCCAUCUCUACGGAAUAACGCAUGGAAACGUGUGCUAAUACCGUAUACGUCCUUCGGGAGACAGAUUUAUUGGAGAUGGAUGAGCCCGCGUUGGAUUAGCUAGUUGGUGGGGUAAAGGCCUACCAAGGCGACGAUACAUAGCUGGUCUGAGAGGAUGAUCAGCCACACUGGGACGGAGACACGGCCCGGACUACUACGGGAGGCAGCAGUGGGGAAUAUUGGACAAGGGGCGCAAGCCUGAUCCAGCCAUGCCGCGUGAGUGAUGAAGGCCGUAGGGUUGUAAAGCUCUUUCACCGGUGAAGAUAAUGACGGUAACCGGAGAAGAAGCCCCGGCUAACUUCGUGCCAGCCGCCGCGGUAAAAC
rnacentral:rRNA from 1 species